UAAAGAUCAUGGGUGGGCGGGGCAAAUGGAGCAGUUUUCUACAGUCGAGUAAAAUUCCAGGAAAGAGCUGGGUGUGGCUUUCCUUUAAAUCACAUGAUCAACAGCUUUAAGAUGGAGGCAACUCGCUCAGUGUUUCCUGUUUCAUUCUUAGACUGUGGCGAUGGUAAGUAGCAGCUUUUCACUUGUUACCUGGCAUCUUUUCAGCCACCAAUGAUAGUCAUUGUAUGUUAUCAACAUUUCACUAACUAUGUUUUCUCUCAUGUUUAAAAUAGGCCGACCAAGAGCAAAAUAGAAGACAACAAUUUCUCAAAGGAGGUUCAAAACUAAUGCCUACAAGAUUACCAAGAGGAGGGUUCGGGGCUCUUACAUGACUCCGGGAAGUCAACACUUGGUGGAUGAGAUCCUUCACAGCAUGUUGUUUCUGGGCAAAAUCAACAACAUCCCCUUUUCUCCAGAAGAAAUCUUCCCUAAUCCUUUUGUUUUGGGUUCUUUAAUGAGAAGAUAUCCCAGGCCUUUAAAGUUGUAUUCGACUCAGCUUCCCAGGCGAAGUCCCUUCUCCUGUGUGCUCGACAUGAUCGUCCUGCAAAAUAACUCAGAGAAUGAAGAGCAAAUAAAGCAGAGUCUGCAAGAUCUCCUCACAGACUUGGACUUAGAAGAGAAUAAUAAAAAAACAGCUUUCGUCUCGUCCACCAUCUGCA